AAAUUGAAGAGUUUGAUCAUGGCUCAGAUUGAACGCUGGCGGCAGGCCUAACACAUGCAAGUCGAACGGUAACAGGAAGCAGCUUGCUGCUUUGCUGACGAGUGGCGGACGGGUGAGUAAUGUCUGGGAAACUGCCUGAUGGAGGGGGGAUAACUACUGGAAACGGUAGCUAAUACCGCAUAACGUCGCAAGACCAAAGAGGGGGACCUUCGGGCCUCUUGCCAUCGGAUGUGCCCAGAUGGGAUUAGCUAGUAGGUGGGGUAACGGCUCACCUAGGCGACGAUCCCUAGCUGGUCUGAGAGGAUGACCAGCCACACUGGAACUGAGACACGGUCCAGACUCCUACGGGAGGCAGCAGUGGGGAAUAUUGCACAAUGGGCGCAAGCCUGAUGCAGCCAUGCCGCGUGUAUGAAGAAGGCCUUCGGGUUGUAAAGUACUUUCAGCGGGGAGGAAGGCGAUAAGGUUAAUAACCUUGUCGAUUGACGUUACCCGCAGAAGAAGCACCGGCUAACUCCGUGCCAGCAGCCGCGGUAAUACGGAGGGUGCAAGCGUUAAUCGGAAUUACUGGGCGUAAAGCGCACGCAGGCGGUCUGUCAAGUCGGAUGUGAAAUCCCCGGGCUCAACCUCGGGAACUGCAUUCGAAACUGGCAGGCUAGAGUCUUGUAGAGGGGGGUAGAAUUCCGAGGUGUAGCGGUGAAAUGCGUAGAGAUCUGGAGGAAUACCGGUGGCGAAGGCGGCCCCCCUGGACAAAGACUGACGCUCAGGUGCGAAAGCGUGGGGAGCAAACAGGAUUAGAUACCCUCGGUAGUCCACGCCGUAAACGAUGUCGACUUGGAGGUUGUGCCCUUGAGGCGUGGCUUCCGGAGCUAACGCGUUAAGUCGACCGCACCGGGGAGUACGGCCGCAAGGUUAAAACUCAAAUGAAUUGACGGGGGCCCGCACAAGCGGUGGAGCAUGUGGUUUAAUUCGAUGCAACGCGAAGAACCUUACCUACUCUUGACAUCCAGAGAACUUUCCAGAGAUGGAUUGGUGCCUUCGGGAACUCUGAGACAGGUGCUGCAUGGCUGUCGUCAGCUCGUGUUGUGAAAUGUUGGGUUAAGUCCCGCAACGAGCGCAACCCUUAUCCUUUGUUGCCAGCGGUUAGGCCGGGAACUCAAAGGAGACUGCCAGUGAUAAACUGGAGGAAGGUGGGGAUGACGUCAAGUCAUCAUGGCCCUUACGAGUAGGGCUACACACGUGCUACAAUGGCGCAUACAAAGAGAAGCGACCUCGCGAGAGCAAGCGGACCUCAUAAAGUGCGUCGUAGUCCGGAUUGGAGUCUGCAACUCGACUCCAUGAAGUCGGAAUCGCUAGUAAUCGUGGAUCAGAAUGCCACGGUGAAUACGUUCCCGGGCCUUGUACACACCGCCCGUCACACCAUGGGAGUGGGUUGCAAAAGAAGUAGGUAGCUUAACCUUCGGGAGGGCGCUUACCACUUUGUGAUUCAUGACUGGGGUGAAGUCGUAACAAGGUAACCGUAGGGGAACCUGCGGUUGGAUCACCUCCUUA
rnacentral:rRNA from 1 species